rnacentral:antisense_RNA from 1 species
CUUCACCGACCCGAGCCAGAGCGGCUGUUCCUCGUCCCGUCCGCGCCCGUACGUGGCCAUCAGUGCCUGGGCCUC